UACGUAGGGGGCGAGCGUUACCCGGAUUACUGGGCGUAAAGCGCGUGUAGGCGGCUGGCCAAGUGUGGUGUGAAAUCCCACAGCUCAACUGUGGAACUGCAUUGCAAACUGGUCUGGCUGGAGUACAGGAGAGGGAAGUGGAAUGCAAGGUGUAGCGGUGAAAUGCGUAGAUAUCUUGCGGAACACCAGUGGCGAAGGCGGCUUCCUGGACCACGACUGACGCUGAUGCGCGAAAGCCAGGGGAGCGAACGGG
rnacentral:rRNA from 1 species